rnacentral:antisense_RNA from 1 species
GCCGUGAAAGCCCUCGAUUCUUUGUCUAUCGAUAGACGGCCUACGCACGGGAACGACGGACAUUUUUCCAACUACUUGAUUCCCUCUUUACCUCACUCCCUUAAGUUGACGCCUAUGCGCCUGCGCGGGGAUGACGGGCUUUA